GGAUCCCAUCAGAACUCCGAAGUUAAGCGUGCUUGGGCGAGAGUAGUACUAGGAUGGGUGACCUCCUAGGAAGUCCUCGUGUUGCAUUCUC
rnacentral:rRNA from 1 species